rnacentral:lncRNA from 1 species
ACAUCUAUGUUAAAAACGUAUCGAUCUCCCCCUGAAUCAGUUUUUUCGCGUGAUGAGUUUGAUAAGAUGAUUCAUGAGAUUUUUAAGAACCUUAUAAUCGACAAAUCUAACAAACUCUUGUACAGCAUAAAAAAAAAGUGGAAAAGAAAUCUGAUUUUUCUAUUUAUCCUCCUGAUGCUUUUGUUAGUAGAUCGGCCCUGGUUGCUAGCCAAAUCAAUAUGGGAUGUCAUUUAGUUGUUUUGGGAGAUAAAGCUAUGCAUCGGCUAGCCAAUGUAAUAUAUACCCACUUAGAAUUAAAAAGAAGUCAAAGCUUCACAAGAAAUUUCAAAAAGCUGCAAAAAAGUCCACUUCAAUUAAAUUAAGUUCACUAUUAAAUGUUCCAAUGAAACAGCUUACCAUGAG